GCUUCAAUAAAACAAAAUAAUAAUUUAUUUAUAAUAGUUUGUAUGUACAUAUCAAAAUUUUUUAUUUACGCGAAAAGAAAAAACAAGAAAAGGAGCAGUGAAUCUGCACAAUUUAAAUUGAAUGGUAGUGUUCUGUAUUUUCUUGAGAUCUAACAUAGGAAAACUUGGGAUUUUUUUUUCCAGGAAAAUAAGGGGUGAGAUUUCUUGAUUCUUGAGAAAAUUUCCUUGUCGGAAGUUUUUUCGAGAGUGGGCAAUAGACCUGCCAGCACAUAUUAGCGCCCAUCCCCAUCAUACCAUUUCUGGGUUUUGUCUUGUUUCUUCUUUCGUUCUUUGUUGAUCCAAAAUCAAGAAAUGCCAGUUUAUCUUGAACAAGGUGAACAACUAUCGUUCUUUCCUGCUUCUGCUUCUGAAUAUUCACUUUCAAGUAACUUAAACGUCUCUCUGCUGAUUUUCUGCAAACUUCUGAACAGAUUUUGUUGCUUUUCAGUAAAGACCCAUGGUUUUAAUGGGCUAAAAGGCUCUCACUGAUUUCCAUCGGUUUCAAUGGGUUUUUGGAGUCCUUCCAAAGUCCUCCCGAAAUUUCUCUGCUCAUUUCUCGUCUGAAUUGCUGUUGAUGAAUUGUAAAGCUGUCUGUUGAUAAGUUUCUCAGCCCUUUCCCCAGAGAAUCAUAACGCGAAAUUGCACAGUAACCAUAGUCGUAAUCGUACACUUCUUCCUGACCACCAAUUUGUCAAGUAAAGCUUUUUUUAUCUUUUGGGCUCUGUUAUAAACUUCUUCCUCUUGGCUCUUCAUUGCUCACAUCUACAGUGUUCUCAAAAACAGCUAUAAGCUCUGUUUUGCUCACUUCAAAGAACUCUGUUCUUGCAGUUCGGCUUUCUAACCUUUUCUGGAAGAAAUGGCUAGGUUCUGGAAUGUGUUCACUUUGAGGAACUUGCUGGUGUUAUCUCUAGCCAUCAAUGUGAGCUUCAUGUUGAGGCUGGUGUAUGUGACCGUUGACAUAAAGAGAGAGCACAUGAUGGCAGUUGACCGUUCCCAGAGAGAGGCACUGCCUAUGCAGGGGGCAUAUCUGUCUGUGUCCUCCGCCACCUCGUCACCUUCCUUGGCUACUUUCCCUGACGGAGACAGAGACAGGGCGAUCAAUCUCGACCAUGGUGAUCCCACCAUGUACGAGAGAUUCUGGCAGCAAGAAGGCGACAAGGCCACAAUCGUGAUCCCUGGCUGGCAAUCAAUGAGCUAUUUCUCUGAUAUUGGAAACCUAUGCUGGUUUCUAGAGCCGGAGUUUGCCAGACAGGUGCUCAGACUGCACAAAAUCGUAGGCAAUGCGGUCACUGAGAACCGUCAUAUUGUGGUUGGUACGGGUUCUACUCAGCUAUUUCAAGCUGUGCUAUAUGCACUUGCUUCUCAAGAUUCAGAGGAGCCUGUCAGUGUUGUAUCUGCAGCUCCAUACUACUCUUCUUAUCAGGCAAUAACAGAAUGCCUGAAGUCUGGGCUAUACAAAUGGGAAGGGGAUGCCCGAAGUUUCGCAAAAGAAGGGCGAUUCAUCGAACUAGUGACAUCCCCUAAUAACCCAGAUGGAUUUUUGAGGGAUUCUGUGCUGAAUAGAAGUGGGGGUGUAUUGGUGCACGAUUUUGCUUACUACUGGCCACAAUAUACUCCCAUCACUUCUCCGGCUGACUACGACAUUAUGCUGUUCACCGUCUCCAAAACCACUGGGCAUGCUGGAAUGCGCAUUGGCUGGGCUCUUGUUAAGGAUAGAGAGAUCGCCAAAAGAAUGGUGAAAUACAUCGAGCUCAACAGCAUUGGCGUUUCCAAGGAUUCGCAGCUGCGGGCUGCAAAGGUUUUGAAAGUUGUUUGUGACAGCUGUGAAUCUUCCAGCAAUACAACGGAGUCCCUUUUUGAGUUUGCCUAUCAACUCAUGGUAGAGAGAUGGCAAAACCUGAGGGUGGCGGUGAAACAUAGUGGCAUGUUCAGCUUGCCGGAAUUCUCUCCUGGAUUCUGCAAGUUCACGGGAAGGAUCUUCGAGCCUUUGCCUGCUUUUGCAUGGUUGAAGUGCGAAGAACCUAUCGAAGACUGCGAGAGCUUCCUACGAUCUAACAAGAUCUUGACGAGGGGUGGGAGACACUUCGGAGUUGGCCCGCAAUACGUUAGGAUUAGUUUGCUAGAUCGUGAUGACAACUUUGAUUUGUUUGUGGAGAGAUUGUCCAGCAUUCGCAAGGAUAAUCUCUACCAACACAUGGGGGAGUGAGCAGCAGACUGACUUCCUUUUUUUUCUUUUUGUAUUGAAAAUCUAAGAGUGAGGCGGCUAGCAUGGGCCUUCUCGUAUUUGUAAUCUAAUAAAGAGAUUAAUUUGCUCGUUGCGAUGAAAAACACAGAAAUGAAAUCCUCCUGCUGGUUUUCCA
rnacentral:misc_RNA from 1 species